UAAAAGUUAUGAUCUAUAAAAUUAAAUAAUUUGGCGGUAAAUUAAUUUGUUUAGAGGAACUUGUUUUUUAAUUGAUAUUACACAUUUUUACUAACCUUAAUAUUUUUGUUUGUAUACCGCCGUUAAAAGUUAAUAUUUUUAUAGAGUUAAUUUUUUUGAAGUUUAUUCUGUUUUAUCAGGUUAAGGUGCAGUUUAUUUUAAGGGUAUAAUGAGUUACAAUUUAUUUAAUGAAUAAUGAAUUUGAGAUUGAAAUUUAAAUUUUUUUGAAGGUGGAUUUAAAAGUAAAAUUGUAUUAGAAAGAUUGUUUGAAUUUAACUCUAUUUUAUGU
rnacentral:rRNA from 1 species